AGUGAACGCUGGCGGUAGGCCUAACACAUGCCAGUCGAACGGCAGCACAGUAAGAGCUUGCUCUUACGGGUGGCGAGUGGCGGACGGGUGAGGAAUACAUCGGAAUCUACUUUUUCGUGGGGGAUAACGUAGGGAAACUUACGCUAAUACCGCAUACGACCUACGGGGGAAAGCAGGGGAUCUUCGGACCUUGCGCGAUUGAAUGAGCCGAUGUCGGAUUAGCUAGUUGGCGGGGUAAAGGCCCACCAAGGCGACGAUCCGUAGCUGGUCUGAGAGGAUGAUCAGCCACACUGGAACUGAGACACGGUCCAGACUCCUACGGGAGGCAGCAGUGGGGAAUAUUGGACAAUGGGCGCAAGCCUGAUCCAGCCAUACCGCGUGGGUGAAGAAGGCCUUCGGGUUGUAAAGCCCUUUUGUUGGGAAAGAAAAGCAGCAGGUUAAUACCCCGCUGUUCUGACGGUACCCAAAGAAUAAGCACCGGCUAACUUCGUG
rnacentral:rRNA from 1 species